GACGAACGCUGGCGGCGUGCCUAACACAUGCAAGUCGAACGGAGCGGUUGGGAGCUUGCUUCUGACUGCUUAGUGGCGGACGGGUGAGUAACGCGUGAGUAACCUGCCUUUCAAAGGGGGAUAACGUUUUGAAAAGAACGCUAAUACCGCAUGACAUCGCGAAGCCGCAUGGUUUUGCGAUCAAAGGAGCAAUCCGCUGAAAGAUGGACUCGCGUCCGAUUAGCCAGUUGGCGGGGUAACGGCCCACCAAAGCAACGAUCGGUAGCCGGACUGAGAGGUUGAACGGCCACAUUGGGGACUGAGACACGGCCCAGACUCCUACGGGAGGCAGCAGUGGGGGAUAUUGCACAAUGGGGGAAACCCUGAUGCAGCAACGCCGCGUGAAGGAAGAAGGGUCUUCGGGAUU
rnacentral:rRNA from 1 species